rnacentral:rRNA from 1 species
AUUGAACGCUGGCGGCAUGCCUUACACAUGCAAGUCGAACGGUAACAGGUCUUCGGAUGCUGACGAGUGGCGAACGGGUGAGUAAUACAUCGGAACGUGCCUAGUAGUGGGGGAUAACUACUCGAAAGAGUGGCUAAUACCGCAUGAGAUCUACGGAUGAAAGCAGGGGAUCGCAAGACCUUGUGCUACUAGAGCGGCCGAUGGCAGAUUAGGUAGUUGGUGGGAUAAAAGCUUAACAAGCCGACGAUCUGUAGCUGGGCUGCGAGGACGAUCAGCCACACUGGGACUGAGACACGGCCCAGACUACUACGGGAGGCAGCAGUGGGGAAUUUUGGCCAAUGGGCGAAAGCCUGAUCCAGCAAUGCCGCGUGCAGGAUGAAGGCCUUCGGGUUGUAAACUGCUUUUGUACGGAACGAAAAGCCCCGGGUUAAUACCCUGGGGUCAUGACGGUACCGUAAGAAUAAGCACCGGCCAACUACGUGCCAGCCGCCGCCGUAA